ACGGGGAGAGGCUGACUGGUGUGCACGAGCUGACACCCGGUGCCUUGCUCUUUGCCCUCCUGAGGAACUCUCUCUGCCACCGGUGACCGGAGAAGACGUGCACGGAGAACAUCUCAAUAUUCUUUACUCGUGUUUGAGGUUAUCCGCCACCAUGAAAGUUCAGCUGCUGAUCCUGUUGGCCCUGGCCGGUCCCUUCUGCGGCAUCACACGUGCCAGUCCCACCGGUCUCCCCGAAGAAAUGGGGGGCGUAACCGAGGUAACGCCUGAAAUCCCAGAGGAAGUGCACGAGGUGUUCACCGGGGCCCCCGCGACCGUACCAGCAGCUCUCCCCGCCGAAGUCACCACAGAAGCCAUCUCAGAGGUCGCCACGGAGACCGCCACGGAGACCACCCCAGAAAAAUCCACAGAGGCCACCGUAGAAGCCGACACACAGGCCGCCCUAGAGGUCGCCACCGGGGCGGCCACCGUAUCCGAAACAGAGGCUGCGACGGCGCAGGCGACCGUGGAAGACGCUUUCACCACCCAGGCCGCCCUCGUGGAGUCCACGACUGCGGAGACUCACUCGCCAGCGGAGGUGACGGAAGCGGCGGCUGAGACUACGGCAGAGGUCGACGCGGGGAAGACAGCGGCACCCACGGACAACCUUGUGGAUACUAGCACAAAGGUUGAUGGGCAAAUGGAGGGUGAGGAGGGUGAUGGUGAGGAUGUGGGCGCUAUGUCGGGGCUAAUGUGGGCUAGCAUUCAAACCAAGCUCACGUAUAGGAUAGCAUUCAAACCAAGCUAACGAAAUGGGCUAGCAUUCAAACCAAGCUCACGUAUAGGAUAGCAUUCAAAUCCAGCUAACGUAUAGGAUAGCAUUCAAACCAAGCUAACGAAAUGGGCUAGCAUUCAAACCAAGCUCACGUAUAGGAUAGCAUUCAAAUCCAGCUAACGUAUAGGAUAGCAUUCAAACCAGGCUAACGAAAUGGGCUAGCAUUCAAACCAAGCUCACGUAUAGGAAAGCAUCCAAACCAAGCUGUUGUUUGUGGCACUUGGGUAGAAAUGGUUUAGAAAAUGGACCCUUUGUUUGGAUCAUCGAAUCAAAUCCAAACCAUUAUAUUUGAUUAUCAGUGAUGUAGAGAAGCAAGUAGAACUUGUCAAAAUAUGUGUUUUUUUUCUGUCGUGCAGAAGGGAUGAGUUCGGGCCAGAUGGCCGGAGUGGUCAUCGGCGCCUUGAUCGCGAUCGUCAUCGUCAUCGCUGUGGUCUUCGCCCUCGUGAGGAGGAUGGGCAAAUACUCGUAAGUACCUCCCUUCCCUUGGUCAUCAAAAACACACAAAUACUCACCAGCCUUUGGCAUAUUUACAGAAGUGCGCGUGCACGCUCGUGGCAGACACGCAUGCCUGUGUCGUGAUCACCGGCAACUUACGCCACCACGCAUGAUUCCCAUGAUGCAAUAGCUUUGAAUGACAUAGGCGUCGGUGCGAAUCCCCUUCCGAGAGACGUCGGACACUCGGGCCUGUCUCAGAAUACUGCGCUGUCAUUCAGACCACAACCGGCCGGGAUCCUCGGCUGAGUGCGCAUGGCGAAGUAGGGCGGCAGUAGCUCAGGUGGUAGAGCGGGUUGGCUGGUAACCUGAAGGUUGUUGGUUCGAUCCCCGGCUUCACCAAGCAGAGUGUCGAGGUGUCUUUGACAAAGCACCCAACCCUGACUGAUGUCGCGAUGUGAUGUCGAAUCCAGACAUCCUGCUGAUGCUGGAACAGAGACUUCCAACCCUCCAGCAGAAGCGCCCCAAGGCCAUGAAAUGCACCGAGUGGGAAAAAAUGAUGAUGAUGAUGAUGAUGAUGAUGAUGAUGAAGCACGUCUUGGAAAAAACAGCUGUUUUUCCAUCGCACCACGCCCAUCUGAGAGCAGGGUGGCACCGGGAUCUGAAUGUGUCUGCAUGUGUCACUGAACGCUGCUGUGUCUCUGUGUCGCAGGGCCGCCAAGAAAGCCAAGAUCGUGAAAAGAAAGCGGGCAUCUUGGUUUCUGUAAUAUAUACAUCAUUAUAUAUUCGGUUUUUUUUACCCCACCUCGUGCUAAAUUACUUGAGACCCCUGCUUAAUACUGUGUGGAGUCUAGUCUUAACAGAACACCCUGGCACGCUUUGUUGACCACUGACCCAACAAUCUCGUCCUAACUUGUGUUUCUAUGUCUUGUCUGUUAGCCUUUCUCAUGUUGGGCUCAUACAAAUGUAACCCUUUCGGUGUGAAAGUCUGUCAUUAAACCAUAACUACUUGUAUUAAACACUACGGCUAUACUGAAGAUUACUUCAGUUUCCGUCCAGAUAAUCAACAUUUGAGAGAAGAGGAAGCUAUGAGGAGCUUGUGGCUUUUUUAUCUAUCAUAAACACACCCACAGCUUUAAUCAUCAAGUCUUCUUUUAUCUGUCUUGCCGGCAUAAACAUAUGGGUGGAUUGGCCAAUGUUAGGUUUCACUUCAAUGAUCGCAGCAAUAUUCCAUUGCUUGCAACCGGUUUCCAAUCAAAUUUUGCUGCGGCAAUUAAUGGCUACGUUUAAAGCCACAAUUUCUAAAUUGAACCAGACCAAACCAAGCCCUGCCUCCUAGACUUCUCUUUGAAUGCCUGCACCACUGGCAAGUCAAAAUAGCUCUCUAAUUCAGGACGAGAUCAUGGAUCAAUAUGCAGAACUCCUCACAGAGGCCUUCAAUAACCCGUCCCUAAACAACGCUGAAGCAGAAGCCUACCCCUGGACCCAGCCAUUCUUCUCCUCUGAAUGUUAUCUGAAGUUCAGGGGUUGAACACAUUGGGUUUGCUGCAGCCCUUUGUCCUUCCCAAGCCAUCGCUGUAUUGUAACCCCUUCUUCUUCUUUUCUCUCUGUUUCCCACAGUCCAUGAAGGAAAGAAGGAAAAACAAAGAGGCAGGAGCGCCCAGAGUUCUGGAAAUUGUGAACUACUGAAAUGUGAUGUCAUUUCCUGUCAUUAAACAACCAUGCUAUCAGCACUAGUCAAGCACUAGUGUAUGUGUGUGUGUGUGUGUGUGUGUGUGUGUGUGUGUGUGUGUGUGUGUGUGUGUGUGUGUGUGUGUGUGUGUGUGUGUGUGUGUGUGUGUGUGUGUGUGUGUGUGUGUGUGUGUGAGAGAGUGUGAGAGUGUGCGUGUGUGCGUCUGUGUUAUUCAGAGUUUGUGUGUGUGUGUGUGUGUGUGUGUGAGUACGCCUGUGUGUGCGCCUGUGUCUUUGUGUGUGUGUGUUUGUGUGUCUGUGUGUGUGUAUGUUUAUAUGUUUGUGUCGGUGGGCUGGUGGAGAAGAAAAAGGACAAGCAAUCAUCCGCAGCUCCUCCCGCAGCUCCACCAACCACCACCACCCCACCCCUCAUCUCCAUCCACCCACACCGACUACACCCCCCCCCCCCACCCUGCCCCCACAACCCAACAUGGUGGGGCGAAUUCUCUAGAAGACCUUCAAGGCCCAUUUGUUUGCGUCUAUAAAAGAGACGUGCUACUAAGUUAUUUGGCCGAUGGUGCUGUGAGCCUGCAACCUCUGGAAGUGGGCGGUGUUUAUCUCAAGACCAGUUAAUGCGACAAGAAAGAGGCCGCGAAUGGCUCCAUGUUAGUUUUCCUUCAAACAAAAUAAAAGUUUUAUCAAGUGAGGAAGUUCGGCGAAAGGAUGCUACGAAUUCCAAAAGGAUGUACAUAUACAGUCAAAUGUGAGGAGCUGACUUAGUCCACAGAUAAUUUCUAUCCAUCUCUUCACAGUUUCUCUUACCUUUAGCCUUCUACUAACACAGAGAAGCCCAAACAGCAGCCAUUCAGACUCUGCUGCUGCUGCUAUGUCCAAAGAACAAUUAGAAAAGUAUUCAGAACACCAGCCAAAGUUGAGUUACCUUGCCAAAGUAACUUGACAUAAAACGGAACCUCAGACAAUCGCAUGAAGCACAUAGUGCAGAUGUUGUUCUGACAAGGGCUAACGUAGAGAGCCUGAUAGGAAACUAGACACCUUCAUUUGCGAGGGGUAACGUGACACAUUCUGCCCUAUUUAACACUGACUUAUAAAAACAUAGUACAUAUCUGUGAAAUUCAGCAGAAGGGUUUGUGCCACUGUCUCUCUGGUAUUCCACCUAGUUUAGUUGGGGAGGAUUUGAAAGCGGCAUUAGUGUGAAUGGCCAAGUACAGGUCUAUUUUACGUCAGCUGGUCCUUAAUAAAAACGUUUGGCUUCCUCCCAUCCGAAUGGCCAUCGUAUAUUAACACAUCUCAGUGUUUCAUAGACAAUGUGUAGCAUUUACUUACUGAAUGUAUUUAUAGCACAGCAGCACUCACCCAACUAGCAAGUACACCAAAACAGCCAUGGACAAACACAAGCAAAACCCCAGCUGACAGAGAUGAACUACUUUUUUGAUUUUAGUGCUCAGUGUAAGGCAGCGACGCCCUGUCGUGUAUUUUGUUGUUCUUGUUUUGUUUAUUAGUUUCUUGUUCUUAUUCUCGCAUUUGUACGUUCAAUAAUGGUUGUAAAAAAAAAAAAUUAACUCUGCUUAGCUCUGCUUGAUUUUAGAAUCUCCGUUUAAUUGUCGUGCACUGAACGAGUGAUCUAACGUUUAAUGGCGAGGCUUUAGACACCGCAAACAUUUGCAACGUUAUCUAUCUUCACAGCCCUGUGCACCCCGCCCUGGCCCCUAUUACCACAUAGUAACAACUCGCUCUUCUAUUUUUUUUGCUUUAAUUUGUAUACUUUUAUUUAAUUGCAGUGUUUUUGCUCAUACUGUUUCAAUAAAAAAAAAUCAAAUACUAAACUUUGUAUCUUCACUGUUUUUAUCAUUCAACAUAUUUUUCUGGAUAAUAUCAAUGGAAUGAUUAAAAAUAGAUAUAUUUAUGUUGUUGUUGUUUGUUGUAUGUUAUUUAAUCUGGGUAUCUGUUUCAUCUGUACAAGCAAACCGGUUCCAAUAGUCUAUUGGUCUCAUACACAGCUAGCCAUAAAGCAGAGAUGCAUAUUUUCAAUCUGUUUAGAGAAACACAAACACAGCAUUACCCAGCAUACACUUGGGCUGCGAGAAGUUGC
rnacentral:lncRNA from 1 species